CUUAUGAUGGCGACCGGCGCACGGGUGCGUAACGCGUAUGCAACCUACCUUUUACAGGGGCAUAACACUGAGAAAUUGGUACUAAUUCCCCAUAAUAUCUGAGACGGCAUCGUUUUGGGUUGAAAACUCCGGUGGUAAAAGAUGGGCAUGCGUUGUAUUAGCUAGUUGGUGAGGUAACGGCUCACCAAGGCGACGAUACAUAGGGGGACUGAGAGGUUAACCCCCCCACAUUGGUACUGAGACACGGACCAAACUCCUACGGGAGGCAGCAG
rnacentral:rRNA from 1 species